AUACGGAGGGUGCAAGCGUUACUCGGAAUCACGGGGCGUAAAGCGCGCGCAGGCGGGCUGAUAAGUUGGAUGUGAAAGCCUACGGCUCAACCGUAGAACUGCAUCCAAAACUGUCAGUCUAGAGUCUGGGAGGGGAAGAUGGAAUUAGUUGUGUAGGGGUAAAAUCCGUAGAGAUAAAUAGGAAUACCAAAAGCGAAGGCGAUCUUCUGGAACAGUACUGACGCUGAGGCGCGAAAGCGUGGGGAGCAAACAGGAUUAGAAACCCUAGUAGUCC
rnacentral:rRNA from 1 species